UUUUGUAUAAUGGGUCAGCGACUUAUAUUCUGUAGCAAGGUUAACCGAAUAGGGGAGCCGAAGGGAAACCGAGUCUUAACUGGGCGUUAAGUUGCAGGGUAUAGACCCGAAACCCGGUGAUCUAGCCAUGGGCAGGUUGAAGGUUGGGUAACACUAACUGGAGGACCGAACCGACUAAUGUUGAAAAAUUAGCGGAUGACUUGUGGCUGGGGGUGAAAGGCCAAUCAAACCGGGAGAUAGCUGGUUCUCCCCGAAAGCUAUUUAGGUAGCGCCUCGUGAAUUCAUCUCCGGGGGUAGAGCACUGUUUCGGCAAGGGGGUCAUCCCGACUUACCAACCCGAUGCAAACUGCGAAUACCGGAGAAUGUUAUCACGGGAGACACACGGCGGGUGCUAACGUCCGUCGUGAAGAGGGAAACAACCCAGACCGCCAGCUAAGGUCCCAAAGUCAUGGUUAAGUGGGAAACGAUGUGGGAAGGCCCAGACAGCCAGGAUGUUGGCUUAGAAGCAGCCAUCAUUUAAAGAAAGCGUAAUAGCUCACUGGUCGAGUCGGCCUGCGCGGAAGAUGUAACGGGGCUAAACCAUGCACCGAAGCUGCGGCAGCGACACUAUGUGUUGUUGGGUAGGGGAGCGUUCUGUAAGCCUGUGAAGGUGUGCUGUGAGGCAUGCUGGAGGUAUCAGAAGUGCGAAUGCUGACAUAAGUAACGAUAAAGCGGGUGAAAAGCCCGCUCGCCGGAAGACCAAGGGUUCCUGUCCAACGUUAAUCGGGGCAGGGUGAGUCGACCCCUAAGGCGAGGCCGAAAGGCGUAGUCGAUGGGAAACAGGUUAAUAUUCCUGUACUUGGUGUUACUGCGAAGGGGGGACGGAGAAGGCUAUGUUGGCCGGGCGACGGUUGUCCCGGUUUAAGCGUGUAGGCUGGUUUUCCAGGCAAAUCCGGAAAAUCAAGGCUGAGGCGUGAUGACGAGGCACUACGGUGCUGAAGCAACAAAUGCCCUGCUUCCAGGAAAAGCCUCUAAGCAUCAGGUAACAUCAAAUCGUACCCCAAACCGACACAGGUGGUCAGGUAGAGAAUACCAAGGCGCUUGAGAGAACUCGGGUGAAGGAACUAGGCAAAAUGGUGCCGUAACUUCGGGAGAAGGCACGCUGAUAUGUAGGUG
rnacentral:rRNA from 1 species